rnacentral:rRNA from 1 species
GAUGAACGCUGGCGGCGUGCCUAACACAUGCAAGUCGAGCGAUUCUCUUCGGAGAAGAGCGGCGGACGGGUGAGUAACGCGUGGUAACCUGCCCUGUACACACGGAUAACAUACCGAAAGGUAUGCUAAUACGAGAUAAUAUGCUUUUAUCGCAUGGUAGAAGUAUCAAAGCUUCGGCGGUACAGGAUGGACCCGCGUCUGAUUAGCUAGUUGGUAAGGUAACGGCUUACCAAGGCGACGAUCAGUAGCCGACCUGAGAGGGUGAUCGGCCACAUUGGAACUGAGACACGGUCCAAACUCCUACGGGAGGCAGCAGUGGGGAAUAUUGCACAAUGGGCGAAAGCCUGAUGCAGCAACGCCGCGUGAGCGAUGAAGGCCUUCGGGUCGUAAAGCUCUGUCCUCAAGGAAGAUAAUGACGGUACUUGAGGAGGAAGCCCCGGCUAACUACGUGCCAGCAGCCGCAGUAAUAC